rnacentral:tRNA from 1 species
GGGCAGGUGGUGGAACGGUAUACACGAAGGACUUAAAAUCCUUUNNUUCGAAUCCCACCCUGCCCACCA